rnacentral:rRNA from 1 species
AAAACAUUGCCUCACGAAAAAUAAUGAGAGGUCCAUCCUGCCCAGUGACCUACGGGUUUAACGGCCGCGGUACCCUGACCGUGCUAAGGUAGCGUGAUAAAUCGCCCUUUAAUUGUGGGCUCGUAUGAAAGGACAAACGAAAGCUAUACUGUCUCCUAGUAAAAAAUUGAAAUUGUCAUUCAGGUGAAGAGACCUGACUUCCUUCAAAGGACAAGAAGACCCCGUAGAGCUUAAUAUUACAACCAUUUAUAAAAAUAAAUAUACAUAUAAUAUAUUAUCUCUAUACAUGAUACAAUAUUUAGCUGGGGCGGCUAAGGAAAAUAAAUCUUCCAUUUAACUCAUAUAUUUGGCAUUACAUGCCUAACUAAUAAUUGACCCUUUUUAAGAUCAGAGAAUACAGCUACCUCGGGGAUAACAGAUUAAUCCUUCUUGAGAGUUCACAUUGACAGAAGGGAUUGACACCUCGAUGUUGGCUUAGGGUAUCCUAUAGAUCUGCAGCAGUCUAUAAUGGUAGGUUUGUUCAACCUUUAAAACCCUACGUGAUCUGA